GGUAGUCCCCAGUCACAAAUCAUCGCGUCGCCUUCGCUGGUCCCUUUCUCUUAUCGAGCCUCAGUUUUCUCUUCCAUAAGCCGGGCCAGCAGUGCCCACCCCACAGGUUGGCGCCAGCUCCGUAAGGGCCCUACCACCGCGGCCGGCCAGAUCCUCGGCGGGCCAGUCCUGGCGCUGCGGUCAUUUAGCCUGAUGACCCCUGGCCAGGUUCAGCCUCAAUUGCUCCAAAGAACUCCGGACCCGUACCCCGAGCCCGGCGUCCCAGCGGCGAAGUUGAUGGGCCCCGCAGGAGCCCUUGCGGUGAGAACCGAGUCCUGGAGCCCCUGGAGCCCCCGGAGCCCCCGGAGCUGCAGCCGGGGCAGCCUCCUUUCCGCCGGGAGUCCAGCGCUCUCGAGAGCCCAGAAACUCACCGCGCGCAGGAGUUGGUGCGGGCGUCCCGGGCAGGUUAGACUUCUGUGAGCCGCAGCCCCGAAACUGAGGUCAAGAAGACUUACUGUGGACCCUUGGAGAAUUCCCAGGGCUUUGAAAAGUCCCA
rnacentral:lncRNA from 1 species